UACGUAGGGGGGCAAGCGUUUGUCCGGAUUUAUUGGGCGUAAAAGAGCGUGUAGGCGGCCAAACAGGUCCGUUGUGAAAACUGGAGGCUCAACUUCCAGACGUCGACGGAAACCGUGUGGCUAGAGUCCGGAAGAGGAGAGUGGAAUUCCUGGUGUAGCGGUGAAAUGCGCAGAUAUCAGGAAGAACACCAAUGGCGAAGGCAGCUCUCUGGGACGGUACUGACGCUGAGACGCGAAAGCGUGGGGAGCGAACAGG
rnacentral:rRNA from 1 species